rnacentral:tRNA from 1 species
GGGCGGAUGGCGGAAUUAGCAGACGCGCAAGGCUUAGGACCUUGUGGCAGUAAUGCCUUGGAGGUGCAACUCCUCUUCCGCCCA